UACGGAGGGUGCAAGCGUUAAUCGGAAUUACUGGGCGUAAAGCGCGCGUAGGCGGCUGGAUAAGUCGAUUGUGAAAGCCCCGGGCUCAACCUGGGAAUUGCAGUCGAGACUGUUCGGCUAGAGUGUGGGAGAGGGCAGUGGAAUUCCCGGUGUAGCGGUGAAAUGCGUAGAUAUCGGGAGGAACAUCAGUGGCGAAGGCGACUGCCUGGCCCAACACUGACGCUGAGGUGCGAAAGCGUGGGUAGCAAACAGGG
rnacentral:rRNA from 1 species